UUUGUCGCGUUGUUCGUGAAAUCUCACGGCUUAACUGUGAGCGUGCGGGCGAUACGGGCAGACUUGAGUACUGCAGGGGAGACUGGAAUUCCUGGUGUAGCGGUGGAAUGCGCAGAUAUCAGGAGGAACACCGGUGGCGAAGGCGGGUCUCUGGGCAGUAACUGACGCUGAGGAGCGAAAGCGUGGGGAGCGAACAGGAUUAGAUACCCUGGUAGUCCACGCCGUAAACGGUGGGUACUAGGUGUGGGUUUCCUUCCUUGGGAUCCGUGCCGUAGCUAACGCAUUAAGUACCCCGCCUGGGGAGUACGGCCGCAAGGCUAAAACUCAAAGAAAUUGACGGGGGCCCGCACAAGCGGCGGAGCAUGUGGAUUAAUUCGAUGCAACGCGAAGAACCUUACCUGGGUUUGACAUGCACAGGACGCCGGCAGAGAUGUCGGUUCCCUUGUGGCCUGUGUGCAGGUGGUGCAUGGCUGUCGUCAGCUCGUGUCGUGAGAUGUUGGGUUAAGUCCCGCAACGAGCGCAACCCUUGUCUCAUGUUGCCAGCGGGUAAUGCCGGGGACUCGUGAGAGACUGCCGGGGUCAACUCGGAGGAAGGUGGGGAUGACGUCAAGUCAUCAUGCCCCUUAUGUCCAGGGCUUCACACAUGCUACAAUGGCCGGUACAAAGGGCUGCGAUGCCGCGAGGUUAAGCGAAUCCUUUUAAAGCCGGUCUCAGUUCGGAUCGGGGUCUGCAACUCGACCCCGUGAAGUCGGAGUCGCUAGUAAUCGCA
rnacentral:rRNA from 1 species